AACACUAUUUUACUAAGGAGCCUCCGGUGGCACAGUGGGUUAAACAGCUGAGGUGCUGAACUUGCUGACCAAAAGAUUGAUGGUUCAAAUCCAGGGAGCGGGAUGAGCUCCUGCUGUUAGCCCCAGCUUUUGCCAACCUAGCAGUUUGAAAACAUGCAAAUGUGAGUAGAUCAAUAGGUACCACUCCAAUGGGAAGGUAACAGCGCUCCAUGCAGUCAGGCUGGCCACAUGACCUUGGAGGUGUCUACAGAGAAAGCCGGCUCUUCAGCUUAGUAAUGGAGGUGAGCACCAACCCCCAGAGUUAGACACGACUAGACUUAAUGUCAGGGGGAAACCUUUACCUUUUUUUUUUAACUAAUCCAUUGUAUAGAAGGGUAUUUGAACAUCCAUAGAUUUGAGUAUCUACAGGAGAUUCUGGGACAAAACCCCUUAAGGUACCAUGUUGGUUUUUACACCAUCAUUCCAUACUAUAACUGUCCACUUCCUAAACUGAGCACUCCAGGAUUUCAUAAAUUUGAACAGUUUGGAUUGUAGCACUGUUGAGGAGUGACUUUGUAAAUGUGUUGUUAGAAUCAUGAAAAGUUUUAAUGCUCUUUUUAUUAGAGUUUCCAAAAGAAAACACAAGCAAGUCCUGCUUGAAGAGAAUGAUGGCCUGAUAUGACUAAGGGAAAGAAGCAGCAGAUGAGACAGCAGGAAUAACUAUGAAAAUAUUUGGAGGAAAGUAAUGGCAGCAAGUUCCACUUGGUUGUCAUAUGAGUUUACAAUUAUCCAAACACAUUCCAUAUAAGGAAAAAUGGUUUAUUGGGGUGAGUUAAAAUUGGGAAUGGUUAAAGAAGCAGGAAAUCGCAUUCAAAGCACCCCCGACAGAUGGCCAUCCAGCCUCUGCUUAAAAGCUUCCAAAGAAGGAGCCUCCACCACAGUCCGGGGGAGAGAGUUCCACUGCCGAACAGCUCUCACAGUGAGGAAGUUCUUCCUGAUGUUCAGGUGGAAUCUCCUUUCCUGUAGUUUGAAGCCAUUGUUCCGUGUCCUAGUCUGCAGGGCAGCAGAAAAUAAGCUUGCUCCCUCCUCCCUAUGACUUCCCCUCACAUAUUUGUACAUGGCUAUCAUGUCUCCUCUCAGCUUCUCUUCUGCAGGCUAAACAUGCCCAGCUCUUUAAGCCUCUCCUCAUAGGGCUUGUUCUCCAGACCCUUAAUCAUUUUAGUCGCCCUCCUCUGGACGCUUUCCAGCUUGUCAGCAUCUCCCUUCAUCUGCGGUGCCCAAAAUUGGACACAGUAUUCCAGGUGUGGUCUGACCAAGGCAGAAUAGAGGGGGAGCAUGACUUCCCUGGAUCUAGACGUUAUUCCCCUAUUGAUGCAGGCCAAAAUCCCAUUGGCUUUUUUAGCUGCUGCAUCACAUUGUUGGCUCAUGUUUAACUUGUUGUCCACGAGGACUCCAAGAUCUUUUUCGCACACACUGCUGUCAAGCCAGGCGUCCCCCAUUCUGUAUCUUUGAUUUCCAUUUUUUCUGCCGAAGUGAAGUAUCUUGCAUUUGUCCCUGUUGAACUUCAUUUUGUUAGUUUUGGCCCAUCUCUCUAGUCUGUCAAGAUCGUUUUGAAUUCUGCUUCUGUCUUCUGGAGUGUUAGCUAUCCCUCCGAGUUUGGUGUCAUCUGCAAACUUGAUGAUCGUGCCUUCUAACCCUGUCAUGCUUAAGGACAUCACUAGGAACUUUUAAUAUAAACCUCAUAACAAUAUCAGAUCUCAUCUCUUAUGGUAUUAGAAAGGAUUAUUGCUGUGAGUCUGAUUUCUUGGUGCCUGGGUGGUUCUAAACUGGCAGUCUGUAAUCUGCUGGUUCUUGACUACACGGCUCUCAUUUCCCAAAAUGUUUAGUAUUGUUGAUAUUUUUCAUUUCUCAUACAGCAGGGAUGUAAUCAUCAAACAGCAAAUUGAUCAAGACUGCCAAAAAUAUCUUUAUAUUCCCAAUUAAUUUGAGAAGUUUUCUAGAGAAAGACUAUUUCUGCAAUUCAUAUGUUCCUCUUUAGCAAAGUUCCUUGCAAUAAUACUGCCCUCUUGUGGAACAAAGAAGAGAUGGCGGAGGUCUAGUUAAUUGAACUAGUGCUAAAAGUUAUCAUGUUCGGUAUACAUAUGAAGCAUCCUUCAGGGUUACUCUAUAGUCAACUUAUGCUAGAAGUUAACCGCCGAAUCACUCUGGAGGACAAAGCAAUUUCUUGAGAAAUAUUUUAUGAUAAUGAUGAUGAUGAUGAUGAUAAUAAUAAUAAUAAUAAUAAUAAUAAUAAUAACAAUAACAGCAGGAAAAACUCAGCCGCUAUCAGGACCUCAAA
ensembl:lncRNA